rnacentral:tRNA from 1 species
GCCGAUGUGGCGGAACUGGCAGACGCGCACGCUUCAGGAGCGUGUGGACAUAUGUCCAUGGAGGUUCAAGUCCUCUCAUCGGCA